AGCUACUGAAGGUUGGCUGAGUGUGCAUUAAGGCCUGAGCAGCAAUGCCACAUGCCUGGCAGAUGAUGGGCUCUGACCCAAAGAUAUGAGGUUACAGCUCUGGGGCAGACGAGCAGCCUGAGCUCUUUUCUCUGCCUGAUGGCCCCAGUGCCCAACUCUCUGAGGAAAUGAACAGAUGGUCACUGCAAGAGUCACUGAAUCUCCACAUUCAUUCAUUUUUUGGCGACCUUGGUUUUCCAGCUUCAAGCCAAAGAGACCAAGCCUGAAGCUCCCUUCCAGCCCCCUACUUCAGACCUGUAACUG